UAAACGUUGAAGCAGUUUUAGUUAUUUGCUGUAAUCUCAGUCAGGUGUGAGCUUUUAACAUAAUAAUUUGAUAUGUUUUUAUGAAGAAAAUAUUUAGGAUGUACCCUAAACUCAGUUUUCAUGCUUUGACGGAUAUGUCCAUGAACUAUGUAUACAAGGCAAGAACUUAUUUUUUUCCUAAAACAUCGUAACUGCUUAGUAAUAUAUAAAUAAACACAUUUUAUUUUAUUACAUCUCUAUUCGAAUAAAAGAUUAUGUUAUAGACCUUCUUGUGUUGCACAAUUUUAUAGUGCAAUGGAAAAGUUACAUUUUAUCGUUUUAUUAUUCAAGUUUUGAUAUUUUAAAAAAAUAUGAUUUUUGUGCGCAAUGUGAUUUGCAGUAUUAUAAUGGCUGCAAUACUUCCUACUAAUGUAUUUUCAAAUAAUGAUAUUGAUCCGGACUACGGGAAACGAGUGAAAUUAAUGAAUAUGGGUAAUUAUUUUUUAUGACUUUUUAUAUCGCACGGUGAUUUUAUCAUAAAGCCUAGAUACACUGCUGAAUCAACAGGCCUGAAUUAUGUUUCACACGAAUCAAAGGGCAUUUUUAAUAUGCUGUUGUAAUUAUAUGUUAACGAUUUCACAAGUUUCUGCUUAUAAAGUUUUCAACAGGAAUCAGAAUGCUAUUAUUAAUAUCUACUAUAAAACGA